GUGUCCUCUUUUUCACAAACUCAAAUCUGGUCACCCUACUGGACAUCACUCUGUAACCACAAUGACCUCGGAGUGACUGUGCAUUAUAUUGAUGAGAAGUGGGCGCUGCAUUCACACGCCCUGACUGAUGAAAACAGAGGAGACACAUGAUGCUGAAACGUGCGUGGGACACUUUACUGAAGUUGCACAGCAGUGUAAUGUGACAAAUAAAGUCACCACACUGAGCAGAUAGAGCACCAGAGAUGAUCGCUGCUGCGAGACGACUGCCUUUGAUCAUGUCCCUGCUUCAGUCUCCAGCGCUCUGUCACAGUGUCUCUGCAUAACAGUGCAUUUGACAAUGUCCUGACAGAUUUUAUGGCACUUUAGUUCAUAUGGCAGAACAUUUAAAAUAAGUGUCAAGUUCUAGGAAUUGACAAACUGCACUGAAAGUGUUUUCUGGUGUCUCACUCUAACAGGGACAACACAUGUUAUGGCACUUUCAUUCAUAUGGCAGAACAUUUCAAAUAGAAGUGCGCUAUACACUACUUUUGAAUGAAUUAUUGGAUUUUGCGUAUACAAAUGCGAUUAAUCACGAUUAAUCAGGGAAAUCAUGCGAUUAAUCACGAUAAAAAAUUUUAAUCGUUGCCCAGCCCUAAUUAUUAUACAUUAUUAAAGGGCCUGAUUUCAAAAUUCAGAGCACUGAGUCAACAGUGUCUUUACUUUUACUAAUUGACCAGUGUCCCUUUCCCACUGGACAAAAAAACCAUCCACUGACAUCUGGCUUUUGUCUUCUGAAUAAUUCAUUCCCUGGAGAAAUAAUUCUGGGGUAUUUUUUGGCUCGUGCUCCGAUCGGCAGUGGCACGAAUUCCGUCCGUCUCUGUCGAAGCAGCACUUGCAUGUCAUUCCAAAUCAGCCGGUACCGCGUUUGAAGAGAGGCUGAAUAAGUAACAUAGAAAAGAACGAGUAACCACAGUGACAUUUUAAUGGACUCCCUCGUGAUGUCGAACCAGGAAAAACUAAACUCAAAGGCAGGCCAGUCAAGUUUUGGCAAUAGGAGGAGUCUAGUGCCCGUAUUUAUUUGAAAAGAACAGGUAUGAUUAACAUUCUCAAUAGUAACAUUUUUAUUUCCUGAUUCAAAUGCUCAGUUGUUUUGUAAAGACAACAAGGAAGCUGCAGAGAAAAUCUUUUUGACAUUUUUUUAGUCACAAAUUAAUUAACAUCUUCUCCAGUUAAAAAUUGACCUACCGUCAAUAAUUUCAGCUGUUUGAGCAACGAGUUACAGUUAAUUGUUAGCGUUCCAGGCUGUUGACAGACAAACCACAGCCUCCUUCCAAAGAGGAGGUUUACUUAUUUUGAUCAUUGAAUAACAGCCUCACACUUGGAACAGCGGCCGAUGUCAAUGGAGCUCGGUAAACCGGAUCCUUCUAGCAGGCUCCUAUCGACACAGCUGUUUACACAAUUUCAUACACACACACAGUGAGAUCCAAUACCCAUACUACCAUACUCUGCAGUAUGCCAGAAAAAGAAAAAAGAAAACUAUAUAUAUAUAGUAUGUCAAACGCGGUAUGCCAAAGACUCAUUGACAGCUGCAAUGACAAUGUAGAUAUGUUGUGUACCUUGUUCACAACAUUUCUCUAUAAAUAAGAAAUCAACCAGCAGCCCGACUACAACGUCCCAUAGCAUGUACACCGUUGUGCAAUGUUAUUUUUCUUAUUGCCGCACCAAUAUUUAUUUGGUUUUGGAUUUCCAGCAGGUCUGCUGCCUUCGUAUCACUAACAUGACCCUACCAGGUCUGAAAGACGCAUGUCACUGAAAAAUGAUAUUCUGCAGUCACCUGGCAGGAGCUGCUUUUAAACUGCAGCUUGUGUUUGUGUGUUUUACAACCAGAACUUAUUCUGAAAACAUCGAUGUGUUCUUUAAUUUAAAAUCUGAGUUCUGCUGGACAGGUCAGGCAGGAUGUCGAAUGAAAAUGGCUGCUCGCAGUCAGCGGUAAAUAUCAUGCUCACAAAACACUCGUCAGUCAGAUUGAUAGUAUGUAAUCAUCACUCCGUGAUUCAAUUCAAUUCAGUUUAUUUGUAUAGCCCAAUUUCACAAAUUACAAAUUUGUGAAAUUGCUUUACAAUCUGUACACAUCAGACAUCCCUGCCCCAAAACCUCACAUCGGAUCAGGAAAAACUCCCAAAUAACCCUUCAGGGGGAAAAAAGGGAAGGAACCUUCAGGAGAGCAACAGAGGAGGAUCCCUCUCCAGGAUGGACAGGUGCAAUAAAAGUAAUGUGUACAGAAGGACAGAUUUAGAGUUAAAAUACAUUCAAUGAAUAUGACAGAGUGUAUGAAUAGUUCAUAGUAGGCAUAUUCCACGAUGGAGACCUCCACGAUCCAUCAGGCAGAUGGCGGUGGAGAGGAGGAGUGGGCGGAGUCUCAACAGUGGGCGGAGUCUCAACAGGGCAGUGGCGUGGUCGGUAGCAGGAAUUCCACGACCCAGACCUCGAUGAUCCAUCAGGCAGAUAGGAUCUAUGUCGUCUCAUAGGGUCCGAUGAGACGUGAAGUCAAAAGGACUCCGGGGAGAAAGCAGAGUUAGUAAUGUGUGAUGGAGAGAUGAAAAUUCAUCCCUAAGGAGAGAAAAAAGAGGAGAUAGCAGGGUGUCCGCAGGGCAUUAAAAAGUCUUAAAUUGCUUUUCCUAAAAAUAAGGCCUUAAAAAGUCUUAAAUUGUGUUAAAUUCAGAUUGGAUUGGUCUUAAAUUUUUUGGGUGUCAUGUCAUUACGAAUAUGAGGCAAUCUGUUCUGCCAGGUCCGUAUUUUGCUCCGGUUGCUCUGCGGCGUCUCUGGUGUCACCGGGGCCACGCCCCUUCUCUUAAAGGGGCCGUGAUUCGGUCCCAUCCCCUACAACGUGAAGCAUCGGCUAGUUUAGAAAACAUGGCAGGAUGCAAGUUCAACAACGGCUUGAAAAGAACGAGUGUUUCUGGUCACGGUCGGUGAAAUGCUUCUGAAGCUGCGUUGUGUGUCGGGAGACUUUCCAGCGGUGGAAUCUCACGAGCAGAGCAAGAAGCACAGAGACUAGUGAAGGCCGCCAGCAGCCCGCGGGGCUAGCUCCUGCUCCGCCGCCAGCUCCUGCUCCGCCGCUAGCUCCUGCUCCGCCGCCCGCAACGACGUCAAUGCUACAACGCUGGAGGUCACCGGAGGAAAUCCAGCGCCGUGAAAUGAAGAGCUCAUCACCGAAGUCCAACAGGGCGGCGCGUUCUUCAUUCUGUUUGAUGAGACUCUGGACCAGACCACCACGAGACUCUGGACCAGACCACCGCGAGCAGACAGCUGGACUUCAUGUGUGCUCUCGGUGAAAUGACCAGGUCCCGUCAGGAUCCUGUGGAGCUCAUGGGCCCCGACACGCCCAGGACCUACUUCAGCAUCUCACAGAGAAUGGACCAAAUGUCAACUGGAAGUUUUUAUAUUCAUAUAGUUUGAAAAGGAUUGUUUUCCUAGUAUAUUCACAAAAGCUCAGGAGUAGACAUGAACCUGUGCACAAACAUCCAUCACAUAGAGACAUGAGAACUCACACACACACACACAUACAUUCUGUUAUGUAAAUGUAUUUGCAUUUUAAAAGCAGCUGGAAAUGUUAUUUAUGUUAUUUUAUAGAUUUUUUUUGCACGUAUUUUAAAAAUAUUUGUAAAAUAUAUUUACUUGAUUUUAUAGACAUUUGUUCAUGGGACCUAAAUGUUCUGAAAAUGUUGUAUUAAUAAAUAUAAUUUACAACAGCAAUGACAUUUGUGUUAUCCUUUUGCAGUACACCAUACUGUUAAUUUGUGUUUACUUUGAAUUAAUUAAUUUAGAUUAAUGUAUAUUUCCUUCGUACGUUAGGUCUUAAAUUGUAUUUAGACGUGGUCUUAAAAAGUCUUUAAAAGUCUUAAAUUUCACUGGUUUAUUCCUGUAGACACCCUGAGAUAGGUGCUCAGUGCAUCCUAAAACGUCCCCCGGCAGCUAUAAGCCUAUAGCAGCAUAUCAAGGGGCUGGACCAGGUGAACCUGAUUCAGCCCUAACUAUAAGCUCUGUCAAAGAGGAAAGUCUUAAGUCUACUCUUAAAUGAGGUGACUGUGUCUGCCUACCGGACUGAAAUUGGAAGCUGGUUCCAUAAAAGAGGAGCUUGAUAACUAAAGGCUCUGGCUCCCAUUCUACUUUUUAAGACUCUAGGAACUACAAGUAGUCCCGCAUUUAGUGAGCGCAGCUCUCUAGUGGGGCAAUAUGGUACUACAAGCUCCUUAAGAUAUGAUGGUGCAUCACCAAUCAAGGCUUUGUACGUUAAGAGAAGAAUUUUAAAAGUGAUUCUUGAUUUUACGGGGAGCCAGUGCAGAGCAGCUAGUGCAGGAGUGAUGUGAUCUCUUUUCUUAGUUUUAGUGAGAAUACGAGCUGCAGCAUUCUGGAUCAACUGGAGGGACCUAAGAGACUUAUUAGAGCAGCCUGAUAAUAAGGAGUUGCAGUAAUCCAGUCUCGAAGUAACGAACGCGUGAACCAAUUUUUCUGCAUCUUUUUGAGACAAGAUGUGCCUGAUUUUUGAAAUAUUACGUAGAUGAAAGAAUGCCUUUCUUGAGAUUUGCUUUACGUGGGAGUUAAAGGACAAGUCCCGAUCAAAGAUAACGCCAAGAUUCUUUACAGUGGUGUUGGAUGCUAGGGCAAUGCCGUCUACAGAAACCACAACACCAGAUAAUUGAUCUCUGAGGUGCUCAGGGCCGAGUAAAAUUACUUCGGUUUUGUCUGAGUUUAACAUCAAGAAGUUGCAGGUCAUCCAUGUUUUUAUGUCUUUAAGACAUGCUUGAAUUUUACUUAGUUGGUUGGUUUCCUCUGGUUUUAUCGAUAGAUAUAGUUGAGUAUCAUCUGCAUAGCAAUGAAAGUUUAUGGAGUGUUUCCUGAUAAUAUUGCCCAAAGGAAGCAUGUAUAAGGUAAAUAAAAUUGGUCCAAGCACAGAA